rnacentral:rRNA from 1 species
AAUCUCUUUAACAAGCAUUGAACAGAAACCUUGAUAAAAAAUUGAGGACGUCACGCUACGAAAAGUUGUGGUAAGGCACAGGCCUGUGAUCCGCAAAUUUCCUGAGAGUAAACUCAAACAAUAACUUUAUAAAACGACGAGAACUGAAUCAUCUUAGUACCGCCGCAAGAAAUCAAACGAGAAUUUGUAAGUAGUGGUGAAUGAAAACAAAUAAAGGCUAUCGAAAUUUAUGGAUCAAAAAACUAUACGUUGCUUUAAAAGGUUUAAGCCCUGUACUGAGUUAAUAAAUUAAUAAGUUAAGUAAUAUGAAAGCUUAAUUUGUAUGAACAAAGGAGACCCACCUUCUAAGCCACCCAAUUUUUUUAAUCGAUAGUAAACGAGUACUGUGAAGAAAAGGUGAAAAAUCCCGAAAGGGUUACAGUGAAAUUCGAUGCUUAUAAACUAUUCGAAGUUAAAGUUUAAUAACGAAGUGCCUUUUGCAUAAUGAGUCAGUAAGUUAAUAAGUAUAGCGAGUUUAAGUAUAAAUAUGAAAACAACAUACAAGUAAUACUUAUUAAACCUGAAACCAAGUGAUCUACUCACGAACAGGUUGAAAAUUCAUUAACAUGUUUUUUAGGACCGAACUCACACAUGUAGCAAAAUGUGGAGACGAUUCGUGGAUAGGAGCGAAAGACUAAUCAAACUUGGAGAUAGCCGGUUUUUCACGAAAUGUAUUUUAGUACAACAUUAAUCUUAAACAAUCAAUUUUAGGUAGAGUACAAAGUAAAUAAAGGGGUGUAAAAACUUACUAAGUUUAAUUUAACUCCGAAUGACAAUUCAAUAAGAUUAGUAGUCAGUUUUUGAGCGAGAAGGUCCAAAAACGAAAGGAAAACAAUCCAGAUCGCAUACUAAGAUCUUUAAAUUAUAACUUAGUGAAAAAGUUUUAUGAAGCAUCAAAUAAUAGUUUAGAUAGGCUUAGAAGCAGCCUUUCACUAGAGAUAGCGUUUUAGCUCACUAUUUUUUCUUCUUAAAUCUAAAAUGAAAGAAGACUCCAGUUAUAUAUCGAAGUAGCGAAUUUAAACCACAAAUGGUAGUGAAACGUUCUGUAACUUUUUGUCUAUUGAAAAAUUGUCAAACUAAUUCAGAAGCGCCAAUGCUGACAUGAGUAGCGAAAACCAGGUCAAAAAAUCCUGGUCACUUUAAGUUUAAGGGUUUCAACGUAAUUUUAACUUCGUUGAGUUAGUCGGUUCUUAAAAGGCGAAUGAAAAUUAAACUUGAUAGAAAUUUUACAAAACCAUCUAUAUGUAGCAUAAACUAUGAAAAAAAACUUAAUUUGUCAAAUUUUAAAUCUUUUUUGGUCAAAAAUUACAUUUAAAUUUUUCGAGAAAGAACUAUAGUAAACUAAAGACCGUACUUAAACCGACGCUGGUAAGCUUAUCGAAAAGAUUAAAGUGAAUGAAAAAAUUAUAUUCAAGGAAUUCGGCAAAUUAACUCUGUACGUUCGCAAUAAAGAGAGCCUCCAAUGAGGUAGCAUUAAAUAAGAAGCAACGACUGGUUAUCAAAACCACAGGACUCUGCAAAUUAAACAAAAAGUAUAGAGUCUGACGUCUGCCCGGUGCUUGAAAAUAAUAAAUUUUUGUGUUAAGCUUAAAUUCAAAUUACAAGUAAACGGCGGUUCUAACUAUAAGAAUCCUAAGGUAGCGAAAUUCCUUGUCGGGUAAGUUCCGACCUGCAUGAAUGACGUCACGAUUGCUUUACUGUCUCGAAUAUAACUUCAGCGAAAUUACAAUACCUAUGAAAAUGUAGGUUACUUGCAGUAAGACGGAAAGACCCUAGAUCCUUUACUUUAUCUUUGUACUGUAAAAAUUAUAUUGUUGCGUAGCAUAAGUGGGAGUAUUCACGGCUAUGAAAUACCACUCUACUUUAUAAUAUUUUACUUAUUUAUUGAACUUAGUCAAUAAAAACCGUAUAAAGAAGGAAGUUUACUUGGGACGAGAGUCUCCUAAAGCGUAACGGAGAUGCGCAAAGGUAGCUUUGAUUAUCUUUUUUAAUCAACGUGUAAUGGCAAAAGCUGCUUAACAAUUAGAUUGAUAAAUCGAAUUGAGACGAAAGUCAGCCAUAAUGACCCGAUAUUUAAGCGUGGAAUUAAUAUCGUUCAACAGAUAAAAGGAACUCUAGGGAUAACAGAUUCAUCGUGAUUGAGAGUUCGUAUCGAUGUCACGGUUUGAUACCUCGAUGUCGACUCAUCUUAUCCUGAAAUUGAAGCAGAUUUCAAGGGUCUAGUUGUUCGCUAGUUAAAAAGGUACGUGAGUUGGGUUCAGAACGUCGUGAGACAGUUCGGUCCCUAUCUACUGCGAGAAAGAAAAAUAAAGAAUUUAUUUCUAGUACGAGAGGAUCGAAAUACGUUAACCACUAGUGUAUUGAUUGUUAAUCCAUUAGCAUAGUCAAUUAGCCACGUUAAUUCAAGCAUAAGUACUGAAAGAAUCAAAAGUACCAAGGCUCUCUUUCUAUUUUUCAUGAAUAAUCUAAAAGAUUAUUAGAUUGAUCGGUUUAAAAACAAAUUUAGUAAUAAAAUAUUUUAAUAAAUACGAAACUAUUCAAAAAGAUUUCUAA